rnacentral:rRNA from 1 species
GACGAACGCUGGCGGCGUGCUUAACACAUGCAAGUCGAACGGAAAGGCCCUGCUUUUGUGGGGUGCUCGAGUGGCGAACGGGUGAGUAACACGUGAGUAACCUGCCCUUGACUUUGGGAUAACUUCAGGAAACUGGGGCUAAUACCGGAUAGGAGCUCCUGCUGCAUGGUGGGGGUUGGAAAGUUUCGGCGGUUGGGGAUGGACUCGCGGCUUAUCAGCUUGUUGGUGGGGUAGUGGCUUACCAAGGCUUUGACGGGUAGCCGGCCUGAGAGGGUGACCGGCCACAUUGGGACUGAGAUACGGCCCAGACUCCUACGGGAGGCAGCAGUGGGGAAUAUUGCACAAUGGGCGGAAGCCUGAUGCAGCAACGCCGCGUGCGGGAUGACGGCCUUCGGGUUGUAAACCGCUUUCGCCUGUGACGAAGCGUGAGUGACGGUAAUGGGUAAAGAAGCACCGGCUAACUACGUGCCAGCAGCCGCGGUGAUACGUAGGGUGCGAGCGUUGUCCGGAUUUAUUGGGCGUAAAGGGCUCGUAGGUGGUUGAUCGCGUCGGAAGUGUAAUCUUGGGGCUUAACCCUGAGCGUGCUUUCGAUACGGGUUGACUUGAGGAAGGUAGGGGAGAAUGGAAUUCCUGGUGGAGCGGUGGAAUGCGCAGAUAUCAGGAGGAACACCAGUGGCGAAGGCGGUUCUCUGGGCCUUUCCUGACGCUGAGGAGCGAAAGCGUGGGGAGCGAACAGGCUUAGAUACCCUGGUAGUCCACGCUGUAAACGGUGGGUACUAGGUGUGGGGUCCAUUCCACGGGUUCCGUGCCGUAGCUAACGCUUUAAGUACCCCGCCUGGGGAGUACGGCCGCAAGGCUAAAACUCAAAGGAAUUGACGGGGCCCCGCACAAGCGGCGGAGCAUGCGGAUUAAUUCGAUGCAACGCGUAGAACCUUACCUGGGUUUGACAUGGAUCGGGAGUGCUCAGAGAUGGGUGUGCCUCUUUUGGGGUCGGUUCACAGGUGGUGCAUGCCUGUCGUCAGCUCGUGUCGUGAGAUGUUGGGUUAAGUCCCGCAACGAGCGCAACCCUUGUUCACUGUUGCCAGCACGUUAUGGUGGGGACUCAGUGGAGACCGCCGGGGUCAACUCGGAGGAAGGUGGGGAUGACGUCAAGUCCUCAUGCCCUUUAUGUCCAGGGCUUCACGCAUGCUACAAUGGCUGGUACAGAGAGUGGCGAGCCUGUGAGGGUGAGCGAAUCUCGGAAAGCCGGUCUCAGUUCGGAUUGGGGUCUGCAACUCGACCUCAUGAAGUCGGAGUCGCUAGUAAUCGCAGAUCAGCAACGCUGCGGUGAAUACGUUCCCGGG